rnacentral:lncRNA from 1 species
GUGGGUGCCUGUAAUUCAAGCUGCUCAGGAGGCUGAGGCAGGAGAAUCGCUUGAACCCAGGAGGCAGAGGUUGCAGUGAGCCGAGAUCACACCAUUGCACUCCAGCCUGGGUGACAAGAGCAAAACUCCAUCUCAAAAAAAAAAAAAAAAAAAGAAAAAGAAAAGAAUGAAAGAAAAGAAAAAGUAAAAUUUGGUGUAAAAUCAGGUUAGCAACUUGGGAUCUUUAUCUUUAAUGCAGUCACUUACAGCUAUAAUUUUUCCUUCUGAGCACUUUUUUCACUGCAUUCCAUAAGUUUGGGUAUGCUGUAUAUUCAUUUGUCUCCAAGUAUUUUCUAAUAUCCCUAAUAUCUAAAUAAGUGAUUUCUUUUUGACCCAUUGGUUAAGAAUGAGUUUUUAAAUUUCUAUAGAUUCAUGAAUUUUCUGUGGUUUUUUUUGGGGGGGGUUGUUUGUUUGUUUGUUUGUUUUGAGACAGGGUCUCACUCUGUCACCCAGGCUGGAGUGCAGCAGUGUGAUCUCAACUCACUGCAACCUCCACCUCCUAGGCUCAACUGAUGCUCAUGCCUCAGCCUUCCAACUGGCUGGGAUUACAGGGUUGGGCCACCAUGUCUGGCUAAUUUUUGUAUUUUUAGUAGAGAUGGGGUUUCACCAUGUUGACCAGGCUGAUCUUGAACUCCUGACCUCAAGUGAUCUGCCCAGCUCGGUCUCCCAAAGUGCUAGGAUUACAGGCACGAGCCACCAUGCCCAGCCCUGGUUUUCUUUUAUUGAUUUCUAACUUCAUCCUGUUUUGUUCAGAGCAAAUACUUUGUAUGAUAUCUAUUUGUUAAAAUCUAUUAAGACUUGUUUUGUGGCUUAAUACAUGGUCUAUCUCAGAGAAUGUGCCAUGUGCACCUGAGAAAAAUAUGUAUUUUACUGUUAGGAAGAGUCACGUAUAUAUGCCUGUUAGGACUAGUAAAUUAAUUUUUGUAUAUGGUAUGAGGUAGGAGUUCAAAUUCAUUCUUUUGCAUGUGGAUAUCCAUUGUCAUGGCACCAUUUGUUGAGGAGACUGUUUUUCCCAUGGAAUGCUCUUGGUACCCUUGUCAAAAAUUAAUUAGUCAUAGGUGUAUGGGUUUAUUUCUGGACUCUCUAUUCUAUUCCAUUGAUCUAUAUAUCUAUCCUUAUGCCAGUGUCACUUCAGUAAAGUUUUCUAGUUUUCUUAAAAAAAAAAAAACAAAAAACAGCAGAUUCAACCCACUUUCUUCUGGCCUUUAAGUCCAAUAUUAUAAUUAGAAUAAACUGCUCCCAAAAGGAUGUGAAUAACACACCCUACAACCUGGACUGAGGUUUUUUCAUUAUUACACUCAUGACUUCUGCUCCAAUAUGUGUUUGAACACUGUUUGAGUGAGAGGCGGUGUUUCUUAACAUUCUCUUCUUCUGCAUAUCCAGAACAAAUAAUACAAAGGGAAUCUAGAAACUACCUAACCCCAUAGCCAGAUCAUUCUGACAAUGCUAUAGAAAAAUUAGGUAGGAUAUGCCAUAUUAUAAAGUAGGGCCAUGAGUUCAAAAAACAAAUAACACAUGGACUAGCUAGGGAAGCCACAAUAGGUAACAGCAUGCGUUUUAAAGGCUUAGCCAAUGCUAAGCUCCCUGUGAGUCAGGAAUGUCAUGAGGCUUCCAUAAUAAUAAACUUCAUUUGUAGCAGCAUUAAAAGAAAUAGAGUGCCCAGAGUGAGGAGGCAAUGGUCAUACCUGACUUUGCCCUGCUCAGGGUGUCUGAAUUGCCCAUGAGCUUCACACUUUUUGAUGGGCAUUGAUUAACUGGACUAUGUCAUAGAAGACAAACGGAAUGGCGCAGUGGCUGCAACCUGUGUCCCAGGAGGAGGAAUUAGGUGAAUUAGGCUUGUGUAGCCUGAAGAAAGCCAGUCUGGGGUACAUUUCCGUUUCUUGAAGUGUCUAAGGAGUUUCCAGAGUGGAGAAGGCAGGAGAGGGAGCAUAGAUAGGAUCAAUGCUAUGUAGCAUCAGAUUUCAGCUAAUAAAAGGAAGAAGUUUCAGAUAAUUGGAGGCAGCCAAGGGUGAAGCUAGCUGCCUCAGGCAGUAACAAGCUCUUCAUUCUGGAGGGGUGUCCAAACAAAGUUGAAAAAGCAGUCAGUGGGGAUGUUGUAAGGGAAUUCAUUCGCUGGGUAGGGGUUGGGUCCAAAUGACUUUUUUUUUUUUUUUUUUUUUUUUUUUUUUGCAAGGGUCUUGCUCUGUCCCCCAGGCUGGAGUGUGAUUCUCCUGUCCCAGUCUCCCAAGUAGCUGGGAUUACAGGCACGCACUGCCACACCCAGCUAAUCUUUGUAUUUUUAGUAGAGACAGGGUUUCACCAUUUGGCCAGGCUGGUCGCGAACUCCUGACCUCAAGUGAUCCACCCACCUCAGCCUCCCAAAGUGCUGGGAUUACAGGCGUGAGCCACCAUGCUCAGCCCCCAAAUGACUUUUGAAGACUCUUACAGCCCUAAGUCUCUAGGAUAUCAGGCAUCCACUGAAGACUCACCCACAUACCCAUUUCUUAAUUCUACACCCAUCCUCUAACAGGCAUUCAAGUGGCACUCCAAAGGAACAAGGCAUUGCAGGCUUUCUACAGCACUAUCAAUCAGGGUUCUUUGGUUGCAAGUAAAAAAAAAAAAAAUACAACUCUGAAUAAUUAAACAGUAACAGGAACAUAUUAGAAGGCAUGAGACAGUUCACAAAACUCAAGAGAAAGCUGAAAAAUCAGGCCUUAAAGAGGACACAAUUCAAAACAGUAGCUAAUACGUAGGCUCCAGGAACUAAUAAAUGAGUUGUGAGUCCACUGUCAAGGUGAAGUUGUCACUCACUGAGCCACUGAGCUCACAAUUCAGCUUCCAGGGACACCGUGGGGAGUAUGUGAUAUCUCCAAUAUCACAUACUUCCGUUGACUAGUAGGGGACGAAGCACAUUGACCAACAGACAGUUCAAUCAUGACCAAAUCCAAUAAAGAAGUCUUCCAGAAAGCAAUUGCAAAUCAGGAAGAUGUUAUCAGAAGAAAGGGAUCCUGGGCUGGCACCAUAAAGGAUUUGUGCCUUGCUUUUUUCAGGUUAAGACAGCAGGGACUUGCCACGGAGACUCUAAAGUCUGUUCCUCCAACCUUUCCCAUUGCAGUGAGAGCAAUAAUUUCCCUGACCCUAUAAAAGGCAUGCAAAGUGUAUCCAGGUCAAGAGCUUGGGUAACAUCAACACUGUGAAAUGUGGGGACAGAUAUCUUGGUGGAAAAAGCACUGAGACUUCUGUUUCCAUCAGCAAAGAAGACUAAACACCAAGGGAAACAACUAAACUAUCUGAAUAAAAUAUCCCUUAAAAUGCAUUGCUUAGUAGGCAAUUUUUUAAAAUUUUUUAAAAUCCACAGAGGCCCAAAAUGAAAUGAAAUCAGGAAUUCUUAGAAAUGAGCAAGCCGUAAUUGCCCUGAGGGUAGCUGCCAAUCCCGAAGGCUCAGCACUGUUUUGUAGGCUUUUUGAGGUACAAGAGACAAGAAAUACGCAUCGAGGGCCUGUUCAAGGUGGAGACCACACAAGAAGACUAUACAAAACUUGGGAUUUCCAAAGGUCUACAUAGUCAGAGUAGGGGUGAAUGAAUAUAAGCAUAUUUUCUUUUUGCCUUGUAUAUCCCAGACUUGGAGCUGAAAAUGACCCAAAAAUGCCACAGGGGACAAAACAAAUUGCCCCCAAAAGCCUCCUCUAGCCAAAUAAGCAGAACAGGGGAAGCCUAGCAAGAUGGAAAACUUUUAGACAAUAAACUGCUCCCCUCUAGCCAAACACCACAGAAAACUGUGACCCCACGUGUAACCACACCAAAAAGGUCAAGUAAGGAGCCUAGGUGCAACUUCAUGCCACUGUGAUAGGCUCAGUGAUGGUCCUCAAAGAUAUCCAGGCCCUCUGAGACUAUAAAAAUUCUAGAAGAUAACAUUGGAAAAACCCUUCUAGACAUUGGCUUAGGGAAGGAUUUCAUGACCAAGAAUCCAAAAGCAAAUGCAAUAAAAACAAAGAUAAAUAGGUGAGACUUAAUUAAACUAAAGAGCUUUUGCACAGCAAUAGGAACAGUCAGCAGAGUAAACAGACAACCCACAGAGUGGGAGAAAUCUUCACAAUCUGUACAUCUGACAAAGGACUAGUAUCCAAAACAUACAACAAAUUCAAACAAAUUAGCAAGAAAAAAACAAACAGUCUCAUCAAAAAGUGGGCUAAGGACAUGAAUAGAUAAUUCUCAAAAGAAGAUUACAAAUGGCCAACAAACAUAUAAAAAUUCUCAACAUUACUAAUGAUCGGGGAAAUGCAAAUCAAAACCGCAAUGCAAUACCACCUUACUCCCACAAGAAUGACCACACUCAAAAAAUAAUAGAUGUUGGCGUGGAUAGAGUGAAAAGGGAAAAUAUACUUCAACACUGCUGGUGGGAAUGUAAACUAGAACGAUCACUAUGGAAAACAGUGUGGAGAUUCCUUACAGAACUAAAAGGAACUACUCACUCUGUCCUCCAGGGUGAAGGCAAUCAUAGCUCACUGCAGCCUUGAACUCCUAGGCUCAGGAGAUCCUCUCCCCUCCAUCUCAUGAGUAGCUGGGACUACAAGCACCUGCCACCACAUCCAGAUUUUUUUUUUUUUUUUUUUUUUUGGAGAGAUGAGGUCUCACUGUGUUGCCCUAAUUUUCUUUUUGUUUUUGUAGAGACAGGGUCUUUCUAUGUUGCCCAGCCUGGUCUUCAACUCCUGGACUCAAGUGAUCCUUGACUCAAGUGAUCCUCUUGCCUCAGACUCAGGAGUGACUGGGAUUACAGGUGUGAGCUAGUACACUGGGCUGACAGUUCCUUCUAAAGCAAAACAUGCAACGACCAUACAAUUCAUUAGUUGCACACCUGAGAAUUUAUUCCAGAGAAAUGAAGACUUAUGUUCACACUAAAACUUGUACAUAAAUGUUUAUAGAAGCUUUAUUUACAUAGUAGCAACAAAUAAUACUGGGAAUAAACAGAUGUCCUUCAACAGGUUAAAUAUGGCACAUCAGUGGUUAAACUGUGGUACAUCCAUAUCAUGAACUACUACUCAGCAAUUAAAAGGAAUGAAUUGUUGAUAUAUACAACACUUAUCUGUAAUCUUCAGGGAAUUAUGCUGAGUGGAAAAAGCCUAUUUCAAUAUAUAACAUUUAUAUAUCAUUGGUGAAAUGAAAAAAUUAUAGAAAUGGAGAACAACUUAGUGAUUGCCCAGAGUUAAGGAGUGGGUGUGGGUGGGAGGGAAGUGGCUGUGAACAUAAAAAGGCAAUAUGAGUGGCGCUGGACAUGUUCCGAUAUUGAUCUAUGUAAGUAUAUCCUGGUUGUGAUACUAUACUAUUGUUUUACAAGAUGCUACCCUUGGGUGAAACUAGGUAAAGGAUACAUAGGAUCUCCAUGUAUUAUUUCUUACAAUGCAUGUGAAUCUCUGAGCAUAAAAAAGAAAAUCACUGAUGAAUACAUGCCUUCUGAUCCCAUUCAUUAAAAAUGCAAAAUGGAUAAAACUAAAUCAUAUCUUUCUUGUUUAGGGAUUCAUACCUCUAGGAGUGAUGUUAGAAAUACUUUCAACUAGUCUGAAAGAUUCGUCAUCCAACACCCCCUAACAGCAAUUAGGUUUACUUCUCUUUGAGGGGGGAAUAAUCCAGGAGUUAUUAAGAAAUUAUUUGGCCGGGCGCGGUGGCUCAUGCCUGUAAUCCCAGCACUUUGGGAGGCCGAGACGG